CAAGCGUUAUCCGGAAUUAUUGGGCGUAAAGCGUCCGCAGGCGGCUUUUUAAGUCUGUUGUCAAAGCCCACAGCUCAACUGUGGAUCGGCAAUGGAAACUGGGAAGCUAGAGUGUGGUAGGGGUAGAGGGAAUUCCCGGUGUAGCGGUGAAAUGCGUAGAUAUCGGGAAGAACACCAGUGGCGAAGGCGCUCUACUGGGCCACAACUGACGCUGAGGGACGAAAGCGUGGGGAGCAAACAGG
rnacentral:rRNA from 1 species